ensembl:lncRNA
GGCAGUGCCAACCCAGGGGAGCUCAGGUGUAAGCAAUGCAAUGCACCUGAGUGACUGGAAGGAACGGAGCCAGGAUACACCCCUUCCCAGACUUCAUUUAAGGGUUGGCACUGGGAGCAAGGGUAUCUCACUGGAGAUCCCUGUGUACCUGAGGCUUUCUGAAGAUUCCUCUCGUUCAUCAGAAUGGUUCAAGAUGCUGGGCAAAAUAAAGUCUGAUACAUUAUAAUUCAAUGAAAAUUCAAUGGUUUCGUGGCAGCUGCAUUUCAUGGUUCUCUGCAAAACCACCUGGAAAACAUCCGUCCUCUGAAAGUGAUAUUCUUAAGAGGGCCUUGCAGACUCAGAUUUGCAGGUUGCUGAAUGCUGCUAAAUUGAAAACGACCUUAUUUGAAAGUAAAUGGAUGCCGUCAAUCCUUUAAGAAUAUCAAAAGCUACAGUACAAACAGCUCACAAAAUGUAAUGGGUGCCUGGAGAACCAGCUGUAAAGCUGCAGUGCUAGUGUAAUCUGUUGAAUUCUAGUCAUAUAGAAGAUUUUGCACAUCACUUUCAAAAUGGUGUUGUGCUGAAUGCCUAUUUUAAAACUUUACUGAAUAUAUGAUUACUUGUGCUAAUUGAAAGAGACAAGACCUACAUUUAUUGGAAUUGUGGUUAAAUACUCCCAGUACCCAUUUUCCCCCUAUGAAGUUGCCAAGGAGAAAACCACAUAUGUUAAGUUUUAAUCUGCUUUUCCCAAAUGUGGAUACAUUUAAAAGAUGGCUGAUAAAGUAUCAUUAGGAUUUUCCAAUGAUGGUUUAAAAUAAUAUACCUUUUAAAGAGGGAUAAUAAAUUAUGAAUGUUCAUGAUAAAGUCACUCAUGAAGUCUCUCAGGGUUCUGUCCAUGGACCUAUGUUAUUCUGCAUAAAUCUAUACAUUUCUGAAUUACUCACAAAAGGAAUAAAUAAUAUCCAUCAUGCUUUUUGGUGAAACAAGUAUCCUUUUGUAACAAAUGAAUUUUUGGAAGCAAAAAAAAGCAAACAAAGACCCCACCACCCUUCAUUGAAACCAUUUUCAUAUCCAUCUCAUUAUUUUAAGCUAAAUUACUCAAGGAAAAUUAAGAUGUAAACAUAUUUGAAAUCAAUGGAAAACUUAAGGUGUUCUGUGUUUCUUUUUUGUUGCAUUAAUCUGCUAUGUAUUUCCAUCCAUCAUUUCUAGUGAUGCUUAAUGUUGCAAUUCAUAUCAUUAAUCUAUUCAAAGUAUUACACACAUAGCAUGUAAUAAUUAUCUGCUACAUCCUGUAGUAUUGGUUUCACUAACUGCUGCAUGAAAGGACAGAUAUCUCUGCACUGAUCUUACGUCUUUCACUCCUCAGGUGAUGUAAAGGAGCCAGAUGCCAGCUGUAAUUAAUAAGCAGAGAUUUUCUGUUGAUUAAAAGCUCUCAGCUGGAAUAAAGCAUAUGGAGUUGUCAGAGUAACACAAGCAUGUGAAGCAGAAGCCAUCAGAAGAGGGGCAAAAUCUUAAUCUCUUAAUCCUGCUAGUGUGUAAUGUCCAAUGAAAGACACGUGUUGCUAGGUCACUAGGGUCAUGGUGACUUGCCCAUGGAAUCAUGGAGCUGCAGUUAUUUUCUUGUUUUUCAUUUGUUCCAUUGAUGAGAUGAAGAAUGUAGAGGAGAACAUAACAUGGAAAUAUUUGCACUGUAUUGUUUUUCUGAGUAAUGCUGGUACAACUGGGGAAAAAAGUAAACAAUAUAUGGGUUAUAUGAAACCUCAUUUUCUAAAGUAUUUCUUCUACAUCUACAAAUAUGUGAUGAUCUCCUAAGUUGCCCUUCUCUAUGGGUUUCUCAAGCCACUAGUGUGCAUAUGUUUUCUGUUAAACUGUUUCCCUCUUUCUGCAUUACAGUAGAAGUUAAAGAAAGCAAGCGUGAAUUGGAUGAGAAAAUAGAAUGAAAAUUAGAAUCUUUAUUGAAAAUGUAAAAAUAAAACAUUCUGGGGAAACUUUCAUGGCUGUUCAGAAAGAAAAAGCAUCAGGUUUUAAUUUAUCUUUACUUUUAUAUAAUCUUCUAUUCAUUUCAAAUCACAGAGAAAGGAGCGUUUCUUCAAAGAAGUAAUUGCUCUCAAAGUUGGAAUGUGUCAUUUGUUUGAAGUAUUGUUGAAGACUUUUAAAAUGGGUUUCUUAAUCUUAUGAUUGAUGGCCAAGUGGUAACUAAAAUUUUUGGAAAUUGCAGCGUAAGAAAGAAAUUUAAACCGUUUUCCUAAACAGCAGCCUCUUACCCUUUGGUUUCUGUGCUACCUGCUUUUUUCCACUGGGUGUCUCCACACUACAUAGGAAGAACACGCAGUGUUUCAAAGGGGAAUGCAUGAAUACAGGGAACACGCGAAUGCAGAAAGAUGGUUUGAAAUGCAAUUCAAUGGCAGGUUAGAGAAAAUGGCCUUAUUUAAGCGAAUCCUAUCUUUCAGAUUUGAAAACUUGAGGGGCAGCUGACUUUUACUUUCAUUCACCAAAAUUUUUAAAAAUGUAUAGUGGUACAGAACUCGUGUUGAUCUCACUUUAAGAAAAUGAGAUCUGCCUCUUGGUAUGUCAAUACUCUCAAAGUAGUGCCUCCUAUUUAUUUCCCUGGAAGUUAUAAUAAAUAAGAGGAGCACAAUAAUAUUAUUUGAUAGAACAAAUUCUCAGCUUUGAAACUGUUUUUUCCAAUGAAGUCACCACUGUUAGCCAUGCAUUUUUUGCCAGCAAUGAACAAGAGCCUGCAUGCCCCUUUCAUAAACAUGUGCACCAGUGGAGGUGCCUUGCUGUCACUGCUAUUGAAACACACCACCCACCACCUCACCUUACCUGCAUAUCCACUGUUUGGUCUCCAUAAACAGGCAGCAAGUACUGAUAAAUGCCAAUUGGUGCCAUUUUUUUCUGCAUGGAAGAAUUCAAGUACAUACUUCUGCUUCAUCCAUGCACUUCCAUGUCAAGUGCCUGGGGGUUAAACCAUGACAACCAGAUUGCUGAUAUAGGCAUUUUCCUCAACCCUGACAGACCUACUAUCUCCAGUUUCCUUUCUAAUGAAAAUUAUAUUAAUUAUAGUAGAAGUUGCUGUGGAGUAAGUGAUAAGAAAUGUGGAAAUCCUUUAUUUGUGUACUUCCUGUGCUUUUAAUUGUUUAAUUCAUGCAAGGAUACCAAAAUGCUUCUAAAUAACUUGCUCAGCUUGAAGCUACGUUGCUACUUCCCUAUUGCUUUGGUUA